rnacentral:tRNA from 1 species
CUGGUAGUUCAGUUGGUUAGAACGCUAGCCUGUCACGCUAGAGGUCGUGGGUUCGACCCCCAU